GACGAACGCUUGCGGCGUGCUUAACACAUGCAAGUCGAACGGAAAGGCCCUGCUUUUGUGGGGUGCUCGAGUGGCGAACGGGUGAGUAACACGUGAGUAACCUGCCCUUGACUUUGGGAUAACUUCAGGAAACUGGGGCUAAUACCGGAUAGGAGCUCCUGCUGCAUGGUGGGGGUUGGAAAGUUUCGGCGGUUGGGGAUGGACUCGCGGCUUAUCAGCUUGUUGGUGGGGUAGUGGCUUACCAAGGCUUUGACGGGUAGCCGGCCUGAGAGGGUGACCGGCCACAUUGGGACUGAGAUACGGCCCAGACUCCUACGGGAGGCAGCAGUGGGGAAUAUUGCACAAUGGGCGGAAGCCUGAUGCAGCAACGCCGCGUGCGGGAUGACGGCCUUCGGGUUGUAAACCGCUUUCGCCUGUGACGAAGCGUGAGUGACGGUAAUGGGUAAAGAAGCACCGGCUAACUACGUGCCAGCAGCCGCGGUGAUACGUAGGGUGCGAGCGUUGUCCGGAUUUAUUGGGCGUAAAGGGCUCGUAGGUGGUUGAUCGCGUCGGAAGUGUAAUCUUGGGGCUUAACCCUGAGCGUGCUUUCGAUACGGGUUGACUUGAGGAAGGUAGGGGAGAAUGGAAUUCCUGGUGGAGCGGUGGAAUGCGCAGAUAUCAGGAGGAACACCAGUGGCGAAGGCGGUUCUCUGGGCCUUUCCUGACGCUGAGGAGCGAAAGCGUGGGGAGCGAACAGGCUUAGAUACCCUGGUAGUCCACGCUGUAAACGGUGGGUACUAGGUGUGGGGUCCAUUCCACGGGUUCCGUGCCGUAGCUAACGCUUUAAGUACCCCGCCUGGGGAGUACGGCCGCAAGGCUAAAACUCAAAGGAAUUGACGGGGCCCCGCACAAGCGGCGGAGCAUGCGGAUUAAUUCGAUGCAACGCGUAGAACCUUACCUGGGUUUGACAUGGAUCGGGAGUGCUCAGAGAUGGGUGUGCCUCUUUUGGGGUCGGUUCACAGGUGGUGCAUGGCUGUCGUCAGCUCGUGUCGUGAGAUGUUGGGUUAAGUCCCGCAACGAGCGCAACCCUUGUUCACUGUUGCCAGCACGUUAUGGUGGGGACUCAGUGGAGACCGCCGGGGUCAACUCGGAGGAAGGUGGGGAUGACGUCAAGUCGUCAUGCCCCUUAUGUCCAGGGCUUCACGCAUGCUACAAUGGCUGGUACAGAGAGUGGCGAGCCUGUGAGGGUGAGCGAAUCUCGGAAAGCCGGUCUCAGUUCGGAUUGGGGUCUGCAACUCGACCUCAUGAAGUCGGAGUCGCUAGUAAUCGCAGAUCAGCAACGCUGCGGUGAAUACGUUCCCGGG
rnacentral:rRNA from 1 species